GCGCCCGUAGCUCAGCUGGAUAGAGUACUGCCCUCCGAAGGCAGGAGUCGGACGUUCGAAUCGUCUCGGGCGCGCCA
rnacentral:tRNA from 2 species